rnacentral:rRNA from 1 species
AACGAACGCUGGCGGCAGGCUUAACACAUGCCAGUCGAACGCCCCGCAAGGGGAGUGGCAGACGGGUGAGUAACGCGUGGGAACAUACCCUUUCCUGCGGAAUAGCUCCGGGAAACUGGAAUUAAUACCGCAUACGCCCUACGGGGGAAAGAUUUAUCGGGGAAGGAUUGGCCCGCGUUGGAUUAGCUAGUUGGUGGGGUAAAGGCCUACCAAGGCGACGAUCCAUAGCUGGUCUGAGAGGAUGAUCAGCCACAUUGGGACUGAGACACGGCCCAAACUCCUACGGGAGGCAGCAGUGGGGAAUAUUGGACAAUGGGCGCAAGCCUGAUCCAGCCAUGCCGCGUGAGUGAUGAAGGCCUUAGGGUUGUAAAGCUCUUUCACCGAUGAAGAUAAUGACGGUAGUCGGAGAAGAAGCCCCGGCUAACUUCGUG